UCUUGUCCACAAUUGCGGACAAGAAUAGGGUGCCUCUAUCUUUUCUGUGAGGCCGCGGAACAGAACUACGCAUGCGGACAGCACACGGUGUGCUGUCCACAUCUUUUGCGGUCCCAUUGAAAUGAAUAUGGUCAGCAGGUUAGGGAUGCAG